GUAGCGGGGGGGUCAACUGUAAUGAAGAGCAUUAUCUGUGAUGAAGAGUAUGUGAGAGCUUGAAAUGUAUUUUUCGUGAAAAACUGCCGUGUGGUUCCGGGAGCUUAGUCAAAAGCAGGAACAGCCUGGCGAUUUUGUUGAGGUGGUGGCUGCGGAUCUCAAUUGACUUGGUUGACCUAGCGCUCAUGGGAUUGGCUGGACGGUACUUAGUGGUUGCAUGUGGUGUUGGGAUGGAAAUGAGACGGAUUUAGGCAGCAGCUGGCCGGCUUCUUGCAAUGCAAUGCUGCACACAUGCACUAGUAAGAGGUGAGCAGAAGGAAAGGAGCAGAAAUAGUAGUUGGGGACUGUGGGUUUACGCUUGGCAUGACGGUGUAGCCGAGAGCACUUGGCAGAUGUCCAGAAGGGACGCUGUGGUCGCUGUGCCGAUAAUCGAAGACGACGGGAAUGUAUCGCGUUGGGUGUGAAAGCACGGGGAGUCAAUCUGCGCUUCAGGAACGUCCGUGUCGAGGGGGAAGUUAAUUAGGUGUUGAAUUACCUUCGGCUUAGACGAGGAAAGUGGAGGAAGAAAUGGAUUGAUCAACUUUGUCACAGCAUUGGCGAGGUUGACUCAGUGGUCUUCUGUGGGGCAACGCAGUUGUUUGGAGAGGAGAUGUUUGCCCGGUUACCCUUAACAUAUGGACGAAAGCAGGUUCCACAACGUGAAGCUCACCACGAAGCGUGGCAGGAGACCGAAGGACACGAGGGUUUGAGAAGGCUCAACGCGGGUUUGCAGAACGUGUCGUGUUCACGUCACCUGUUUGAAGCUGAUGGGUUAUGCUUCAGGGGACCCCAAGAGCAAGAUUCCGCUGGUAGUGAUUGAAAAAUGAUCUAUGUGAGACUUCAGUAUAGAGCUCGGCGAUGAAGAGGAGAUCAAGAGUAGGUGCGCGGACGAGAAGAAAGACUCUGGCAAUGAUUGCCUAAAAUGCGGACACAACAUGUUGUAACGUUCGCUGCAAUGAAUGGAAGUGAGGUUUUUCUUUUUUUUACAAUCUACAGACAGGGUGCGGUGUGGGCAGACUGCUUUUACAUCAUAUUGUAACAUGGUUGGGCACCAUUUGAAACUAACCAGGUUGAAAGGCGUUUGGUAUAUUGCGCACCAUCGCUAGGAAAUGGAGCUGUACACUGUAGGCUUGGAAAGGAUAUGCCGAGAUCGCAUCUGAAUGAACCCAUGUUCAGAGCAGCAAAACUCUGUGUCUGUUCUGAGUUCUCUGUGAGCUGGCUAUUCUGAGUUAUUAUUCAGAAGAGCUGGCUUUUCUGAAUAAUUUACUCAGAACAGAAUAUCUCUUUUUUUGUCUUUAUUAUUAAAUAUAUGAAUUCUUAUGUCAAUAUUAUAUAAAUCAGAAUUCUUUUCCUACAAAUAUUAUUAUUUAUAUAAAUAAUAAAGCCACAUUUAGCAAUUUCAUAUUAGGCAUCUUAAAUUUUUAAAAUAUAUUUUCUAAUUCAAAAUUUAUAUUUGAAAUUUUUGAGCUUAUAUUUAAAAUUAUA
rnacentral:lncRNA from 1 species